rnacentral:misc_RNA from 1 species
GGAAAAAUGGCAAGGUCGUCCAAGACAUCACUCUGAAGCUGAGCAAGGUUGACAGUGGCCUGAUCGUGCUGCAGCUGGAGUGGGUUCACGUCCCAGGUGUUACCCUCUGAGCAGUGUCCGAUGGUCGUCGAUGGAGCUGCAGGUGCAGCUGGUCUCUGAAUGUGAUAUUGUAGACUAUGCGUGUGGACGUUGUUUGCAAUGUGUACCUCCGAUAUGUG